CAAUUACUAGAAGUACCCUAUAUGGUAGGCGACAGUUGGUGUCAGUGAGGGCCAUUUCCGUCAAACUAAGUUACAACGGCUAUUUUCGAAUCACGUAGCCGUUGGACCCAUCCAUAUCCAGAUGGCAGAUCUUCAUAAUUUACUUUCCCAGAAGCACCAACGAAGGAACAAACCACCCUAGUUUUCUAGCGCAUAUAAAGCCUUCAUCGGUAUACCCAGUAAUCUUCAAUUAACUCAUUCUCUGCAAGCAACACUAGCUUUUCCAACGCUCUUACAUCACCAGCAAAGCUUCAUCGCCAAUCUCUCUCGCUCUCGCUCUCGCUCUGGCUCUGGCUCUCGCUCGCUCUCUCUCUCUCUCUCUCUGUGAUUUUUAUUUUUCAGUAUAUAUUUUUGUUAUCUAUAAUCUCACUUUGCGUUUCGCAGGCUAGGUUCUUGUUUUUAUUUUUUAUUUCUUCUCCUCCUCCUCUCUCUCUCUCUCUCUCUCUCUCUCUCUCUCUCUCUCUCUAUAUAUAUAUAUAUAUAUAUCUAGCGUUAUGGAUGCAGGAUCUGUGGGUUCCUCUUACAAGUGCUCGUCUCGGUGCCCCCUUCAAGAACAAUUCCUUCAGAGAAAGAAUAAUCGUGAAAAUUUGGAUAGGUUCAUUCCCAAUCGCGCAGCUAUGGACUUCGAUUACGCCCAUUACAUGCUCACCGAGGCGAGGAAAGGCAAAGAGAACCCGGCUGUGAGCUCUCCCUCCAGAGACGCCUACCGGAAGAAACUUGCGGAGACCUUCAACAUGAACCGAACUCGGAUCUUGGCUUUCAAGAACAAGCCCCCAACAACAAUCGACCCGAUACCACAGGAGUUGCUUUCGUCGUACAAUCCUCAGACCAAAAUUACCAAGCCCCGGCGACACAUUCGUCAGAGUUGCGAGAGGACAUUGGAUGCUCCUGAUAUUGUGGAUGAUUUCUACUUAAAUUUACUAGACUGGGGUAGCAGCAACGUCCUCGCCAUUGCUCUCGAAAACACAGUGUACCUCUGGGAUGCCUCAAAUGGCUCUACCUCAGAACUCGUUUCAAUUGACGACGAAAGUGGUCCCGUUACGAGCGUCAGUUGGGCUCCUGAUGGCCGGCACAUCGCCAUUGGCUUAAACAAUUCCCAUGUCCAGCUUUGGGAUUCUACUGCUAAUAAACAGUUGAGGACAUUGAGAGGCGGUCACAGGCAAAGAGUCGGUUCACUGGCCUGGAACAAUCACAUCCUAACAACAGGAGGAAUGGAUGGUAAAAUAAUCAACAAUGAUGUGAGGGUGAGAUCCCACAUCGUUGAGACCUACAGGGGACACCAACAGGAGGUCUGUGGAUUAAAAUGGUCUGCCUCGGGCCAGCAAUUGGCGAGUGGAGGAAACGACAAUCUUCUCUAUGUAUGGGACAGAUCUGUGGCCUCUUCCAAUGCACCAACACAGUGGCUUCACAGGCUUGAGGAGCACUCAGCUGCUGUCAAGGCCCUGGCUUGGUGUCCAUUCCAGGGUAAUUUGCUAGCCUCUGGCGGUGGUGGGGGUGACCAUUCGAUUAAGUUCUGGAACACCCACACAGGCGCGUGCUUGAACUCGGUUAGCACAGGUUCGCAGGUUUGUGCUCUGCUAUGGAACAAGAAUGAGCGUGAAUUGCUUAGCUCUCAUGGCUUUUCCCAGAAUCAGCUCAUUCUUUGGAAAUAUCCUUCAAUGGUGAAGAUGGCGGAGCUCACUGGACAUACCUCCAGAGUUCUUUAUAUGGCACAGAGCCCGGAUGGGUGCGCAGUGGCAUCUGCAGCAGGAGACGAAACACUGAGAUUUUGGAAUGUGUUUGGGACCCCAGAAGUGGCUAAACCUGCACCUAAGGCGACAAACCCAGAGCCAUUUGCUAACGUGAACCGUAUCCGUUGAACAUCCUUAUAAGGUGGUAAUGGAUUGUUGAGCUUUAUCAUGUGAAGAAGAUUCUCUACUGAUGGUGGGAAAAAAGCAAAGACAUCUUGUGGCAAACCCUAGAAACAAGAAUAUUACUCCAAGUGCCCACCUUAACUCGUCAAAAUCUAGUGAUGAUCUGGAUGUGCAGGGAGAAGAUAGUUGGGUGAUUGUGAAAAAACAGAGGGUCACCAUUUUGGUGCCUCCUCUACCUGCUGCAAAAAAUUUGAAGACUCGAAACCUGGGACCAAGUCAGCUGGAAGCCAGACCCCAAAAAACAAGUAACCAAAUACAACCUCCAAUUGAUAUAUGUCCUAGAAUAUUGUCUGUUGAUGAAGAAGGAAAGUCCAUGUCACUGGCUCCUGAAAAGAGUAUUCAGUUUGUGAGAAAUGCUCCUUCUCAAGAUCUGCCAACAUUAACUAAGCCACCAAGUGAAGAUUUAAGAAUGGAAGCAGAAAAUACAAAUCAAGUUGGCACCUCAAAAACUUGUGAAAGAUUUGGGGUGUCUGACACCUCAAAAGCUAUCAAGCGGCCUAGGCUAUUACAUUGCCCCAGUGGCUUGAUUGAUGGGGGAAUGCUGCUAAGUCAAAAGCUGAGGGCAUCAAAUCUUGAGAUAAAACUUAAAAGAGCUGGGGGGUUGAGCAGGUGGUUGGCAUCGCUUGGACUGGAUCAGUUUGUGAGGAUUUUCCAGAGGAAGAGUGUUAAUAAAUUUCAGUUGGUAAAUUUAACAAUGAAGAAGCUCAAAGAUAUGGGUGCAAAUGCAGUGGGGCCUAGGAGGAAACUGAUACAUGCCAUUGACUGUGUUUGUCAGUCCUACUGUUUUGAGGCCAUCUGAAUGUUCAUUGGAUCUUGAAGCAAUUGGAAGAUAGGAGGAAAGACACUGUCAAAUGCAGCAGCCUAAUUAUAUUGGUCAAGGACAUGCCUGAACAAUUGGAUAUUUCAUGACAACUACUUGGGAAGAGAGAAUAUGAAACAAACUUUGCUGCUAGUAGAAGAGGCGGUGACAUUGGCACCAGAAAGCAUCUGCUGCCCUCCUGGCAACAAAGGAAGCUGCAAAACUUCCAACUUCAGAACAUCGUCAUCCAAGAAGGUGACAUAUUGCUGGGUAACAUCUGCUAUCAAGAAUGAGAGAGAGCUUAUGAUAGAAUGCAAACUUCAUCAAUCGUAGAUGAUGUUAUCCAUUCCUUAAGGUCAUUCAAGCAAUGGCACGUAUAGAAAAUUUAUUGGUUACACAACCGAUGUGCGCACUUGGUGCUGCACUAGGCCAUGCCUAAUCUCAUGACUUGCAUUCCCCUUGAUAUUUUUCCCCUUUCCCGCCAUGAACUGUAACACAUUAUUUAUUCUAUUAGUGAUAUGCUCAAAACGAGUUGUUAUUGCUUAAUGAA